GUAGGUGAACCUGCGGAAGGAUCAUUAACACGUAUCCACGUAUCAAACCCCUCUGUGCAAAAACCUCUUCUGACAAGGCUUGGUCUUAGUAUGUUGCUCGCAUGGGUCCUAAUGAUGGAGUUAGUUGCUUUGGCGACUAACUAGGGUCCGAGUAGCAUGUGUUUGACGAUCAGCCGUUACUUUACUAUCAUUGGCCCCUUCUCUAACUUUUAAACCCCUUGUACUCUUUUGUACUGAACCAAUUCUUUCGAUGCUCUCCGGAGCGACGAAUGAUAUUACGAAACUAAAAGAACAACUCUUAGCAACGGAUAUCUUGGUUCCC
rnacentral:misc_RNA from 1 species